GUAGGGUAACCGUAGCCCAACGAGAUCGGGAGUAACACCCUGGAAACAGAUGCUAAUACCGGAUAACAACAGAUGAUGCCUAUCAACUGUUUAAAAGAUGGUUCUGCUAUCACCCUUGGAUGGACCUGCGGUGCAUUAGCUAGUUGGUAGGGUAACGGCCUACCAAGGCGAUGAUGCAUAGCCGAGUUGAGAGACUGAUCGGCCACAUUGGGACUGAGACACGGCCCAAACUCCUACGGGAGGCAGCAGCC
rnacentral:rRNA from 1 species